AUACGAAGGGGGCUAGCGUUGUUCGGAAUCACUGGGCGUAAAGGGCGCGUAGGCGGCUUUGUAAGUCGGGGGUGAAAGCCUGUGGCUCAACCACAGAAUUGCCUUCGAUACUGCAUGGCUUGAGACCGGAAGAGGUAAGUGGAACUGCGAGUGUAGAGGUGAAAUUCGUGGAUAUUCGCAAGAACACCAGUGGCGAAGGCGGCUUACUGGUCCGGUUCUGACGCUGAGGCGCGAAAGCGUGGGGAGCGAACAGGA
rnacentral:rRNA from 1 species